UCCCCGAUAGUCUAGUGGUGAGGAUAUCUGCUUGUCACUGCAAUAGCAGCAAUUCGCAGGGGACCGGGGUUCAAUUCCCCGUCGAGGAG